rnacentral:rRNA from 1 species
GAUGAACGCUGGCGGCGUGCUUAACACAUGCAAGUCGAACGGUGAAGCAGGAGCUUGCUCUUGUGGAUCAGUGGCGAACGGGUAAGUAACACGUGAGCAACCUGCCCCUGACUCUGGGAUAAGCGCUGGAAACGGCGUCUAAUACUGGAUAUGUGAUGUGGCCGCAUGGUCUGCAUCUGGAAAGAAUUUCGGUUGGGGAUGGGCUCGCGGCCUAUCAGCUUGUUGGUGAGGUAAUGGCUCACCAAGGCGUCGACGGGUAGCCGGCCUGAGAGGGUGACCGGCCACACUGGGACUGAGACACGGCCCAGACUCCUACGGGAGGCAGCAGUGGGGAAUAUUGCACAAUGGGCGGAAGCCUGAUGCAGCAACGCCGCGUGAGGGAUGACGGCCUUCGGGUUGUAAACCUCUUUUAGCAGGGAAGAAGCGAAAGUGACGGUACCUGCAGAAAAAGCAUCGGCUAACUACGUGCCAGCAGCCGCCGUAA